AAGCGGUGGAGCAUGUGGUUAAUUCGAAGCAACGCGAAGAACUUACCAGGCCUUGACAUGCAGAGAACUUUCCAGAGAUGGAUUGGUGCCUUCGGGAACUCUGACACAGGUGCUGCAUGGCUGUCGUCAGCUCGUGCCGUGAGAUGUUCGGGUUAAGUCCCGUAACGAGCGCAACCCUUGUCCUUAGUUACCAGCACGUUAUGGUGGGCACUCUAAGGAGACUGCCGGUGACAAACCGGAGGAAGGUGGGGAUGACGUCAAGUCAUCAUGGCCCUUACGGCCUGGGCUACACACGUGCUACAAUGGUCGGUACAAAGGGUUGCCAAGCCGCGAGGUGGAGCUAAUCCCAUAAAACCGAUCGUAGUCCGGAUCGCAGUCUGCAACUCGACUGCGUGAAGUCGGAAUCGCUAGUAAUCGUGAAUCAGAAUGUCACGGUGAAUACGUUCCCGGGCCUU
rnacentral:rRNA from 1 species